CAAUAGCGUAUAUUAAAGUUGUUGCAGUUAAAAAGCUCGUAGUUGGAUCUCGGGUCCCGGCCUGCGGUUCACCACACGGUGUCUACUGCCCGUCCGGACCUACCUGCCGGUUUUCCCCUGGUUCUCUUCGUUGAGUGCCUCGGGUGGCCGGAACGUUUACUUUGAAAAAUUAGAGUGUUCAAAGCAGGCGGUUCGCCUGAAUAAUGGUGCAUGGAAUAAUGGAAUAGGACCUCGGUUCUAUUUUGUUGGUUUUCGGAAGUCGAGGUAAUGAUUAAGAGGGACAGACGGGGGCAUUCGUAUUACGGUGUUAGAGGUGAAAUUCUUGGAUCGCCGUAAGACGAACUACUGCGAAAGCAUUUGCCAAGAAUGUUUUCAUUAGUCAAGAACGAAAGUCAGAGGUUCGAAGACGAUCAGAUACCAU
rnacentral:rRNA from 1 species